UACGUAGGGUGCGAGCGUUAAUCGGAAUUACUGGGCGUAAAGCGUGCGCAGGCGGUGAGUUAAGUCUGAUGUGAAAGCCCCGGGCUCAACCUGGGAAUGGCAUUGGAAACUGGCUCGCUGGAGUGUGGCAGAGGGGGGUGGAAUUCCACGUGUAGCAGUGAAAUGCGUAGAGAUGUGGAGGAACACCGAUGGCGAAGGCAGCCCCCUGGGCCGACACUGACGCUCAGGCACGAAAGCGUGGGGAGCAAACAGG
rnacentral:rRNA from 1 species